rnacentral:lncRNA from 1 species
CCUUGAGAAGAAACGGCGGAGACCUGAGACCCGGAGGCUGAGGCUGUAGGUGGGCUCCGCUGGGUAAAAGUUGCCGCAGCAGCUGUCCCUUGGCCCCAUCGCGAUUUAUUUUUCCCCCUUGCUUUCCGGGUCCCGGGAUCCCAAGUUUGUAACUAACGGGAGCGAAUCCACACCCGAGCAAAAUGUUUGCGAGUUUCAGGCGCCCUUAGUUGAAAGGCUGUAAUUAACAAGUCCGCUGUUUGCCAGCCAGGCGCCGUUGCAGGCGCUUUCUGUGGAUUGUCAUUUAUUUCUCACAGCAACCCUAGGAGAGAUGAAAUUGAAUCAUGGAAGAAUGCCUUUAUCUGAGGAGUCAUCACCACUAGGGAGCUAUGGAGGCUGUUAUCCUUGACAUCUGCAGCAGCCCUUCCAAGCUGUGGAGACCAGGUCAUCUGGAAUGCCCAUUUAUGUCAAUGGAAGAAAGAAAAAGGGGUCUCCUCCCAUCCUCACCACUGCAUUCUCCCACCAACCCUGCUCCUGUCCCACUUCCCACAACUCAGUUGUUGACAAUUUAACAGUGGGUUUCUGGAAACAGUGCUGCCUCCUUGAUGGUCUAACUAACUACCAGAGUUAUUCUAACAGCAGGAAUUUCAAGCCAGGUAAGGGGAGCUAUGUCAGGCUGCCAGAUGGUGGGGAAGACAGGUGUGGGUGAGCUGGCUUCAGACUAAAGGAAGAGGAGAUCAAGUGUUGGAAUCACAUUUGAGAAAAGGAGUCAAGUGAACUUCAUUACCCAUUAUAGAGGCCUGUUAUAUCCUUUAGUGCUAUUUGGACUUGGAUUGAACCUGUGACAAAUCCUUUUCUUAUGCUUCUUCCAUCCCUGCUUCCAUGUUAUAUCCUUUCCCCUUCUAAAAUGG